AAGGGUAUAGCUCAGUGGUAGAGCAUGUGCUUAGCAUGCAUGAGGUCCUGGGUUCAAUCCCCAGAACCUCUA
rnacentral:tRNA from 1 species